GAAAUCUUAGCGGCGGACGGGUGAGUAACACGUGGGCAACCUGCCUCGAAGAGGGGGAUAACACCGAGAAAUCGGUGCUAAUACCGCAUAACAUACAGACACCACCUGGUGACUGUAUCAAAGGAGAAAUCCGCUUUGAGAUGGGCCCGCGGCUGAUUAGCUAGUUGGUGAGGUAACGGCUCACCAAGGCGACGAUCAGUAGCCGACCUGAGAGGGUGACCGGCCACACUGGAACUGAGACACGGUCCAGACUCCUACGGGAGGCAGCAGUGGGGAAUAUUGCGCAAUGGGGGAAACCCUGACGCAGCAACGCCGCGUGGAGGAAGAAGGUCUUCGGAUUGUAAACUCCUGCCUUCUGGGACGAAUAAAUGACGGUACCAGAAGAGGAAGCCACGGCUAACUACGUGCCAGCAGCCGCGGUAAUACGUAGGUGGCGAGCGUUGUCCGGAAUUACUGGGCGUAAAGGGCGCGUAGGCGGCUCUUUAAGUCAGAUGUGAAAACCCAGGGCUUAACUUUGGGAGUGCAUUUGAAACUGAAGGGCUCGAGUGCAGGAGAGGUAAGUGGAAUUCCUAGUGUAGCGGUGAAAUGCGUAGAUAUUAGGAGGAACACCAGUGGCGAAGGCGACUUACUGGACUGUAACUGACGCUGAGGCGCGAAAGCGUGGGGAGCAAACAGGAUUAGAUACCCUGGUAGUCCACGCUGUAAACGAUGGAUACUAGGUGUGGGAGGUAUCGACCCCUUCCGUGCCGCAGUAAACGCAAUAAGUAUCCCG
rnacentral:rRNA from 1 species